CUUCAAAGUAAAAGAAAACAAAGAGUGGAUGAGCCGUGCAGAACACAAAGAUAACCAGAGAGAGGAAGCGGCAAGAGGACCUGGAGCUAAACGGGGACGGACAGCGGAGUGGUUCAGAGACGGCUCCUUCCUGCCAUACGUUGCGGAGGAAUAAAGAUUAUAAAAGUGGGAAAGCAUGAAGCUAAUUGUUCCAGCUCUAUCAGGUUCCACGGAGAUUGGAAGUAAACAAGUCCUUCCGCAAAUCCUCUGUCGGAUUGAGGUCCGGGCUUUGACUGUGCCGCUCCGGAACGUCCACCUUGUUGUCUUCAACCCAUUUCUGUGCAGCUAUAUGUCUUUUUUAAAUUUUUUUCUGUCUGUAGAAAGCUGCAGAGCAGCUGUGGCUACAACGUAGCUUACCAUCACCAGAGCAUGAAAGCGAACGUGUGCUUUAAUAGGUGAAUAACUGAAUGUAAAGUGCUUUGGGGGUCUUCUGGUCUAAAUAAAGCACUAUGCCAGUACAGGCCAUUUACCA